AAGUCGUAACAAGGUCUCCGUAGGUGAACCUGCGGAGGGAUCAUUAACAAAUCUAACACAUACCCUGUGUAAGCGUCUGUUCCUGGCUGGGUCAAGUGGGGAGUGUGUGUGGUGGUCUCUUUCGUGAGAAGGAGGGAACCCGUACGCCCACCAGGAUCAACAACUCAACAAACACUAUGAUUGUCAGUCACUGUAUAUUACAACAACAUGUAAUGACAAACAACUUUUAACAAUGGAUCUCUUGGCUCUU
rnacentral:misc_RNA from 1 species